ensembl:snRNA U6 U6 spliceosomal RNA
GUGCUCGCUUAGGCAUCAGAUCUACCAAAACUGGAACCAUGCAGAGAAGAUAAGCAUGGUCCCUGAGCAAAGAUGACAGAGUUCCACAAAGCCGAGAAAAUAACCAAG